GCCGGGGUGGCGGAAUUGGUAGACGCACACGACUCAAAAUCGUGCGGACUUUGUCCAUGAGAGUUCGAUUCUCUCCUCCGGCA
rnacentral:tRNA from 3 species